GGAGUUAGGGUUCGAUUCCGGAGAGGGAGCCUGAGAAACGGCUACCACAUCCAAGGAUGGCAGCAGGCGCGCAAAUUACCCAAUCCCGACACGGGGAGGUAGUGACAAUAAAUAACAAUACUGGGCUCAUCUAGUUUGGUAAUUGGGAAUGAGUACAAUUUAAAUCCCUUAACGAGGAUCCAUUGGAAGGGCAAGUCUGGUGCCAGCAGCCGGGGUAAUUCCAGCUCCAAUAGCGUAUAUUUAAGUUGUUGCAGUUAAAAAGCUUGUAGUUGGACCUUGGGUCGUCACGGUCGGUCCGCCUACUUGGUGUGCACUGGCCCUCACGUCCCUUCUCCGGCGGCGCGUUCCUGGCCUUAAUUGGGUGGGUCGCGGUUCCGGCGCCGUUACUUUAAAAAAAUUAGAGUGCUCAAAGCAAGCCUACGCUCUGAAUACAUUAGCAUGGAAUAACGCGAUAGGAGUCUGGUCCUGUUCCGUUGGCCUUCGGACCGGAGUAAUGAUUAAUAGGGACUGUCGGGGGCAUUCGUAUUUCAUUGUCAGAGGUGAAAUUCUUGGAUUUAUGGAAGACGAACCACUGCGAAAGCAUUUGCCAAGGAUGUUUUCAUUAAUCAAGAACGAAAGUUGGGGGCUCGAAGACGAUCAGAUACCGUCCUAGUCUCAACCAUAAACGAUGCCGACCAGGGAUCGGCGGA
rnacentral:rRNA from 1 species